UACGAAGGCCCCAAGCGUUAUCCGGAUUUAUUGGGCGUAAAGGGCGCGUAGGCGGCUCGGUGCGUCUUAUGUUAAAUCUCACCGCUCAACGGUGAAAUCGCAUAAGAUACGACCUUGCUCGAGAGUGUUAGAGGUAGAAGGAACUCAUGGUGUAGGGGUGACAUCCGUUGAUAUCAUGGGGAACACCGAAGGCGAAGGCAUUCUACUGGGACAUUUCUGACGCUGAGGCGCGAAAGCGUGGGGAGCAAAAAGG
rnacentral:rRNA from 1 species